rnacentral:tRNA from 1 species
GCCUAGGUAGCUCAGUUGGUAGAGCAGAGGACUGAAAAUCCUCGUGUCGGUGGUUCGAUUCCGCCCCUGGGCA